AAAGCGUAUAUUAAAGUUGUUGCAGUUAAAACGUCCGUAGUCGAAUUUACGCCUGGUGGCUCGGCCGCUGGUCCUUCAUUGGGCCAGAUUGGCUGUAGUCCCGGCGAUAAAGCUUGGAUCAGGUAGGGUUGGCUUCGGUCGGCUCUGCUCUAUGCCCAAGCGUAUUACCAUGAGCAAAUCAGAAUGCUCAAAGUAGGCCUUCGCGCCUGAAUGUGUUAGCAUGGAAUAAUGAAAUAGGACUCGAGUCUUGUUUUGUUGGUUUACUUGACAUUGAGAAAUGAUGAAUAGGAACGGUUGGGGGCAUUUGUAUUUGGCCGCUAGAGGUGAAAUUCUUGGAUUGGC
rnacentral:rRNA from 1 species